rnacentral:tRNA from 1 species
GGUCAGGUAGCCUAGCGGUUGAGGCAGCCCAUGCAUGUUGGGUCCAGAUCCAAUUGGAUCUGGUCGCUGGUUCGAAUCCAGCCCCGACCA